CUAUCGCACUGCUGAUGGGGUCUUGAGAAAUAAAAAGUUUCAAGCAUGUCUGGACUGUUAGUAGUAGAAGUUGAACUUUACCAGUUUGAAGGUGAGGAUGUUUGUUUCGUCCACAGACCUGUUACCCGUCACCUAUUCUGUAAAUUCCAACUUUUUCAGACGAACCACUUCGGUUUGGAAAUCCUCAGGUUACCUGACAGUGACAGGUAUAUAUAUGAGGAAAAUCUGAAUUCAGAAUAUUGUUUUUGUCAUUUGCUUGACCACAAUAAUUUCAACUGGUCAAUGCUUAUUAGAUAGAGCAAUAAUUUCUCUUACACAGUUUAAAAAAAAAACAAUUUAAAAUUCAGAAAUAAAGUUAUUCAUUAAAACAAUACUACCAAAUUUUAUAUAGACCAAUUCAAGUACACCUUUGGCUUUGGGUCCAGGGUUUUCUUGACUUUUAAUUGUAUUUAAUUUAAAGUUCUGUAGACUCUUUGUAAACAAUAAAUGCUGGCAUUAACAUAUAAAUACUUGUUUUAGUGACUUAAUCACAAUGAAAAUCUGCAAUAAAAUAUUACUCUGGACUUACUAACUAUUAUUAUUGUAUAGCAAUAUAAUAUUUCCCACAGAAAGCAGUGGUGUAGCUUGCCUUCAGUUUAUACCGAGGCAGGGGGCCAGGGGGCGCAGCCCCCAUAAGCUAUUGAGGUUUUUACAAUUUGAACAAGAAAGAAUCGUUCAAAAUAGUUGCUGUUCAAUGUUAUUUCAUCAUAAUAAUGUUAAUUAUAUGCCUUACUGUCUAUACUCAAAGCUAUAAAAAUAACAAAAUACGUGAAGGUAUCACUUUUUUUCAUUCACGAUGAACAUGACAACCGGCGAAUAACUAACAUUUACUUUAUUCUGAAGUUUUCAUUAUAAAUAAACAGUAUUUGGUUGAUUUUUUUUUUAUAAAUAAACUGACAUUAUGUAUUAACUAACAGACAUAUUUCUCUGGAAUUAGUGAUUCCUUUAAAUAUUUUAAAUUCCCUGCUUGUGAAAACGUACUAUGAAUUUAAAAUAGCGAGAAUAAAACUUUAGAACCACAACAUAUAAAUUAUUUUCUGUGCACUAUGAUAUAUAUUAAUGCAUAUUUUGUUUUGUUUGGUACCAGAGUCAAUGAACAUUAUAGUCGUAGGGGAACAUGUCAACGGUUAUAAAUGAGGGUUUUAAUGCUUAGAGUGGGAUUAUCAAAUAUUUAUUUUUUAAUCAUUGUCGCCCAUAAUUUGAUUUUCCUUUAUUUUAUAAUUAAGCACCAUUUUAAAUCCAUAUUCUUUUAAAUUUAAAUUAAUUUCAGGGCCGAUUUUUCCCGUUUUCUUAAAACCUCACCAGGCCCUCAUAUACUAGAAAUUAUUCUGACGUAAACAACGAUAAGAUCUAAGUUUUAACCAAUUUUUACUUAAGAAUAUUUUUACUCGCAGAACAUAUAUUGCACUCGCAAGGUUGUGCAAUAUAUAAUUCUACUCGGGACAAUAUUCCCUAAUAUUCAUGCAAUAACCCUUAUUAUUGCAUCUAUAGCAAUAUAAUAUUUCCCACAGAUAGUAACCAAAAAUAAUAAAAUUGAGAAUGGAAAUGAGGAAUGUGUCAAAGAGACAACAACCCGACCGUAGAAAAAACAACAGCAGAAGGUCACCAACAGGUCUUCAAUGUGGCGAGAAAUUCCUGCACCCAGAGGCGUCCUUCAGCUGGCCCCUAAACAAAUAUAUACUAGUUCAGUGAUAAUGAACGCCAUACUAAUUUCCAAAUUGUACACAAGAAACUAAAAUUAAAAUAAUACAAGACUAACAAAGGCCAGAGGCUCCUGACUUGGGACAGGCGCAAAAAUGUGGCGGGGUUAAACAUGUUUAUGAGAUCUCAACCCUCCCCCUAUACCUCUAGCCAAUGUAGAAAAGUAAACGCAUAACAAUACGCACAUUUAAAAUUCAGUUCAAGAGAAGUCCGAGUCUGAUGUCAGAAGAUGUAAGUUAACCAAAGAAAAAUAAACAAAAUGACAAUAAUACAUAAAUAACAACAGACUACAUGGACUACUAGCAGUUAACUGACAUGCCCGCUCCAGACUUCAAUUAAACUGAUUGAAAGAUUAUGAUUUCAUCAUAUGAAUAUCAGGAAUAACAGUAAUUAAGCGUGCAAUGCAAUAAAAGGGUUAUUGCAUGAAUAUUGGGGAAUAUUAUCCCAUGUAGAACAUAUUCAAUUGCACUCGCAAGCUCGUGCAAUAUUAAAUUCUACUCUGGACAAUAUUCCCCAUUAUUCCAUAUUGGUAUUAUUUUAGUAGGCUUUUCUAUAUGAAUUGGAUUUUGAAUAAAAAAGCAUAUUCACCUGUGAAAGUGUUAUUCACGGCGCUAAACGUCACGCGCUUUUACAUGCAACGUCAUGGUAAAAUUUCAUGUAAAAAAAAAAUUGGUAUAUGUUUGUCAUUAGAUACAUUUUCUUCUCUCGGACUAUGGAAUAAAACAAUUACUGUCUUUUGUUUCGGUAAAUAUGGGGUUUUAUUGACUUUUGAAAAACUGAUAUUCACUUCGGCCGUCGGCCUCAGUGAAUAUCAUUUUUUCAAAAGUCAAUAAAACCGCAUAUUUACCUCAUCAAAAGACAGUAAUUGUAUAAUAUUCAUGCAAUAACCCUUUUAUUAUUAACCCUAUAAUAUUAUUUUAAUUUAUCGGAUGCUGUGAAAAAGUGUCCUUUAAUUGGACAUUAUUUCAUGAUAAAGUAUAUUUGUUCUAUUAAAUUCAAGGUUGACUAAAUUCAAUAAGAGGACUUUUUCACAGUGAAAGGUGUCCUUUAAAGGGAGAUAAUAAAAAAUUCACUGAUUCAAUGAAUCACAGCUUAUUGUGAGCUGUCGACAAGCACCAAAUCUGAAGAAACUUCUUACAUGAGCAAAAUUCAGUACACAGAAGGUGGCAGAAAUUUACAAAAAUGCAAGGAUCCCAGGUUUGGAAUGUGUGAAAUGCUAGAAGUGAGACAAAGUAAAACUCUGAAAUCAAGCACAGCAAUUAAACAGUAUAAAAGCAUGAACAGGGCUUUUUAUAGCUGACUUUAGGUAUGGGCUUUGCUCUUUGUUGAAGGCCGUACAGUGACCUAUAGUUGUUAAUGUCUGUGUCAUUUUGGUCUCGUGUGGACAGUUGUCUCAUUGGCAAUCAUACCACAUCUUCUUUUUUUAUAUGAACUGUAAAUCAUAAAAAAAUAUUUAUUGUGCAACCUGUCCCUGGUGACUUGUAAUCAUAAGUACAUAGGUCAAACCAAUAGACUAAUUGAUAGAGAGAGAGUUCACAAAGUGACAGCAGAUAAAGGACCUGUCAAUUAGAAACUCACCAUGUUUAGGAACACUUUGACCAAUGUGGAAAGAGAAAAUUUAAAAUAUAUCCCUUUUUAGCUCACCUGACCUGAAAGGUCAAGUGAGCUUUUCUCAUCAUUUGGCCUCUGUCGUCCGUCUUUGUGCUGCCCCUGAAUUGGUGAUUUUAAGGAAAUUUUGCAGUUUUUGGUUAUUAUCUUGAAUAUUAUUAUUGAUAGAGAUAAACUGUAAACAGCAAUAAUGUUCAGCAAAGUAAGACCUACAAAAAAGUCUGCAUGACCAAAUCGCAUUAACGUCGAGUGAUUGCCCUUUAUGCUUUAUAGUCAAUUUUUUCGUAAAUUUUUGUAAUUUUUAGAUUCUUGGGUUCUUUAUCACCGUGUAUCAUCGUACAGCGGAUAUAGGUACUAACCAAGCGGGCGUGAGCGAUUUUGAUCUUACACGGUAACAAAAACUUUGUUUUGUUCACAUAAUAUCAAUGUGUACUUCAAUCUAAACAUAAUUGCUGUUUUAAGAAAUGAUGGUUAGAGAUGUCUCAUUAGUUUCCCAAAACAAGAGGGAUUACUAAAACAUUGUAAAAGCAUGUGCAAAUACUUGUCAAAGAAGUUGGCCCUCGUCUCAUCCGAUAUGAUUCUAUAUUCAUUGCAACUCUUUUUCUGAUAGAAGGUCAAUGUGUGUGUGUAAUAAGUAUAGCUGUUUCAAUAAUUGGCAUUGAAAUCUUUCAUACAUAUUUGAUUUUUCAUAUUUUAUCCCUAAAAAAGUGUUGUGUACGGUGUUUAGCUGCUGACCACAGAAAUCCUUAUGUACGGUGCAUAGUUAUGUUGUUGUACACCGUACGUUUAUUACUGUGUAACAAGUUAAUUUUUCUUAUUAGAAUAACAAAUUUGUUUUAUGAAUAGGAAAAAAUCGAUGCAAAAAUUAUUUGGGAGCAGAAAUUUCAAAUGUUGAGAAAUGUACAUUGAAUAUUGAUCAAGCAAAACAAAGAUUUUCGUUACCGUGUAAGGUCAAAAUCGAUCAUGCCCGCUUGCUUAGUACCUAUAUCCUAAGAUAGAUCUACAAACGCAUCACCAUCAUCAAAACACAUUUUGUCAUGAAUCCAUCUGUGUCCUUCGUUUAUAAUGAUAUGCACAUAGACCAAGGUGACCGACACAGGCUCUUUAAAGCCACUAGUUUAAGAUGUGGACCGAAGAUAAAAUUCCACGUAAAGCCAAGGAACACUAUUUUCUUGAACUGUAUAUAAGCUGACUUUAAAUAGGAAAUGAAAUUCGGUCCGUGAAUAAGAUUCCGUAAUAUACACAAACUACCGAAUGACAUUACUAUAAGGUAACGUCACAAGUUGUUACUAGUAACCAUAACAAUUCUGUCUGAUGAACUGUAGGUGAUGCGGUGAAAGUGCUAACAGAAACAAUGUUCGAUUUAUAAUGUGUUUUUUUGUGCUUUUUAUUUUUAAACUAUAUAUAUAUAUAUGUUCUUUGAAAAUUUCUUAAUACAUUGUUGGUCAUCAAAAAUGUGUGUAAUUAAUAUUUACAUGUACUUGGGACCUUUUAAAUGUUCAAAACUGUUCUAUUAAAUUUGCUUAAAAGUAAUCUGAAGCAAUUUCUAGACACGCUUCUAUCAUCAGGGUAAAAAGCCUUGUGACCUAAAUAUUGAUAAAUCAGUUAAGGUAAUUCUUUUUUUUUUCAUUAAUAACAAAAUCUACAGAUGAUUAAGUAUAAAAUAAUUAUAUAUUUCAAGCAAACUAUAAGAAUGUUUAAAAUUUUAAAAAAAAUCACAGAAUCUAAAUAAUUUUUUUAACUUUGCAUUAUUUGUUAAAGGGACACUCAGUGACAGUAUGGACUUAGUUCAUCAUUAUGAUAGGAGCACAUGUCCUGUGCAUGCUGUGUAUAUAGUAUAAUAGAUUUAUUAUGUCUUGUCUAUCUUAAGUUUGGUUAAACUGCCUACUGGGAAAACAUUAUUACAUGUUUACAUUCCCAAUUACUAAGUACUAUUUAGUCAAUUAUGUGUGAAAAAUUUCAAUUUCAUGGGUUUUAAUCCCCCAGGAUAAAUGAAGAGAUAUGAAAAUUUUAUUUUCAGUACUGUCUCAGUUACUUAAUUAAAGACAAUAAAAAUAUUAAAUUAGGGUAAUAUAAUAUUCCCCCAAAAAAUGAACAUUGAAAAGUUCUCACUCUGAUACACAUUUCAAUGAUCAAUAAAAUCAUCUUUUAUAAAUUAGAUGUGAGGACAUGAUGGGUAGCUAGUUUAUAAACUCUUUCCUUACUUAGAAAAAGCACCUGGUUUCCUUAAGAGCACAAAAUUUCAGUGGGAGGGUACAAAGCCUCUAUAUAUUUACAGUUCUCCUGGAUACUGAUUUGUGAACAUGUAAAAAUAAGGCAGAUAAAUCACUCAUGUAACCUCAACAAUGAUAGCGACAAAUGUAUAAUUUUAUUUACUUUUUUCAAUUUCUCAUUGAUGUGAUGUAAAUUUUCUGUUAGAAACUCACACGACUGUAUGAUCUAAAUUAGUGUGACAGUUGCACAAGACUGUUUUAUCUUAAUUUUGCAGAUUUUUUUUCUAGGUGUACAACUGUGCAAGUAUUGAACAUCAGCUUGAAAUGCAAUGUGAACCUAAAAGACAGCAUAAUAAUGGACAGAUGUAAGUAAUGAUAAAAUAGUCAAUGAUAUGGGAAAUGUAUGAAAUUGUAAGAAAAAAGUUGACAGACAUAUUGUUUUACACCUGUCCCUCCGUCGGUCAGUUAGCUAUAAGUCAAAUUACAGCCUUCAACAAUGAGCAAAGCUCAUACUGCAUAGUCAUAUAUAUAGGCCCUGAAAUUACAAUUGUAAAACAUUGAACUAAUGACCUUAAUAUUAAUAUACAAAUAAAAUAACUAAAAACAAAUAUAUGCAACACAGCAACAUACAACAACCACUGAUUGUCCAGGUUCCUGACUUGGGACAGGCACAGAAGAUGGCAGGAUUAAACAUGUCAGCGGGAUCCAAGCCCUCAUAAAAUCAUGUAUUUUAGAUAUUCUCCUCAAGAAAAUCUGAUAUAUAUCAGAAAUGUAAUUAACAUCAACCAUUGUCAACACUUAUAAAUGUUGUAUUUAACUUUAUUUGAUUUAUGCUUAUACAAAGAAGAUGUGGUAUGAUUGCCCAUACCACAUUUAGUUUAAGUGAAUAGAUCUUUAUGAAAUUUUCUCAAGAAGGUUCAAGUACCACAAAAGGAAGGUUGGUAUCAAUUUUGUGGAUGAUGGUCCCAACCGUUUAGUAAAAGGGGCCCAAAACAAGCAUUUUUCUAGUUUCAGGAUAAUAACUUAAUAUACAAUAAAAUUGUGAAUGGAAAUGGGGAAUGUAUCAAAGAGACAACAACCCGACCAUAGAAAAAAACAACAGCAGAAGGUCACCAACAGGUCUUCAAUGUAACGAGAAAUUCCCGCACCCGGAGGCGUCCUUCAUAUUUAAAUUGCUCUGAAAUUAUACCUCAAUGUUGAGACCACAAGUAGAAGGUUAUGAUUCAUUUGAGGGGUUAUGGGGCCAAAGUUUAGGAAUUAAGGGCCAAAAAGGGGCCAAAACAAGCAUUUUUAUAGAAGCUUCCCUUCUGUUAAGGGGUAUUUUAAGGGGCAUAAAGAGGGGAGGGGUUACACUAUGGGAUUUUAUUUAAAAAAAAAUUCAAAUGACUUGAAAACUGUAAGUGAUAAACACCAUGCAGUCUUCAGAAAUGAUCACAGGACAAUAAAACAAAUCAAAUCAAAUAUAGGGUGAGUCCCUGGGGGAAACCCCCACCCUCUUCAAUUUGAGAAUGUGCUAUUAUCUUGUAAACUGUCCAGAUCCCCACCCCUAAACCAUAUAUAUUCUUGUAUGGGACAAUAAAACAAAUCAAAUGAAAGAAAUGGAAUUUCUUUGGGGUUCACCCCCACCCCCUCUUGUUUGAAAACUUGUUAACCAUCCAGAACCCCACCCCUAAACCAUAUAUAUUCUCGUAUGGGACAAUUAAACAAAUCAAAUGAAAUAAAAGGGAAGUCCUUCGGGUUUACCCCCACCCCCUCUUAUUUGAGAACUUGUAAACGGUUCAGAUCCCUACCCCUAAACCAUAUAUAUUCUUGAAUGGGACAAUUUAACCAAUCAAACUAAAUAUAGGGGGAGUCUAUGGGGUUACCCGACACCCUUUUGUUAGAAUACUUGUAAACAGUAGAGAUCCCCACCUCUAAACCUUAUAUAUUCUUGUAUGGGAUAAUAAAACAAAUCUAAUAAAAUAUAUGGGACCAUGGAAAUGGCUAAUUAUGGGAGCUUUGUUUGGGAGACUUCGUAACAGCAUCCUGUUACAAUUACUUCUUGUUUAUUACAUAUUUUAGUGUAUUAAAGUAAUUAUACUGCUUCCACCUUUCAAAAUUCUAAUAAAGCUCUAUCUCUUUAAUGGAUAAAUAAAUGAAACUAGUCAAGAACUCAACAGAUAAUUUUUUUUCAGGUUCUCUGAUUGUAAGUACCUGUUGGCCACACACAUGAAUAUUCUCAUUGAUCCUGCAUUCAGCUAAAUAUCAGAAAAAUUAAGAACAAAGGAAAAUAUGCUGAAACUGUACAGUCACUAGUCAGGAUUAUUUCAGAAGUGCAAUUAUAAUACAAUAUAUGUUACUGGUUAAUUCCUAUGAUUUGUAAAUUUAAACAACACACAGAGGCUUUGCAUUAUUGUUUUACAAGAAAGACACCAAAAGAUGCAGUCAACAUUUAUCAUUUUUAUCAAAAUACGCCCAGGACAAAUCAUGGGUACACUUAGCUUGAAAGAUGGUGCUUUCAUACCAAAAUUUCCUGGAAGUAAAAGAAAUAAAGAACCAAAAUUCAUGUCAGCAAUCAGGGGAUAAGAUGAAAGAAUACAGAAUAAGGUACUGUCAUGUUCAGUCUUUAUAAGAGUCCUGAUGCUCUAUAUAUACAAAUGUAUAUGCAUUUUGUUAUGCCCCGUCAUAGCGGUGGGGCAUUUAGUUUUAUCCUUGUAUGUUUGUACAUAAUAUUAGAUUUAAGAAGAUGUGGUAUGACUACCAAUGAGACAACUCUCCAUCCAAGUCACAAUUUGUAAAAGAAAAACCAUUAUAAAUAGGUCAAAGUACAGUCUUCAACAUGUUCAACACAUGUACAGAGCCUUGGAUCACACCCAACAGUAAGCUAUUAUUAAUUUAAGGACCCAAAAAAUUACUAGUGUGCAACCAGCUUUCAAACAUUAAACCAAAGGUUUAUUCUAUAUGAAAAAAAGAGAAAAGAGAAACACUUAUAGUGCAUGAUUUUCUCACUGUGUUGAAGACCCAUUGGUGGACUUUGGUUGUUGUCUGCACUUUGGUCGGGUUGUUGACAUAUUCCCUGCAUUUCCAUUUUCAAUUUUAUUAAGAAGUUAUUGAGUUUAUAUUGACAUUUAUUCAAAUUGAAAUAUGUCUUUGAGUAAUUGGAGUUUACAUACUGGUUCCCAGUUAUGCUCUUUGUGUUCCAUAUCGCAGAGACAGAACUUGGGAAUGUUACCAGUAAAUAAACACGUGCAUAUUAUUUACAUUGAAAUCUGUGGUAACCUUUCAUUCGAGGUAGGGGUAGUUAAGAAAAUUAGUGUAAGUUUAAACUCUGAGAAGUUCAGGGCAUAUAAACGUUGAAAAUAUGCCGCACAGCCCUAUAUUUUGACAAAUUGUGGUGCAUAUGAACUUUCAAUUCUAGGAUAAGAUUUUUUUUCAAAAACUUCAUAGUAAGUAGUACAGUUUUUGAGCCAUAAAAGGAGUUCCUAUGGGAAAUUGCAUUGUCAAUAUUUACAGAAAUGCACCUAUAGUCUCAACCUAUCAUCAUGAUCAAAAUUGUUGAUUUCACAGUUAAUAUUUACUUUUAGCAUGUUCAGCGGAAUAGAAUGUUUUUGUUAUAUUUUAUCAAAUGUCGAUUUACUUUGUUCUUAUAGGCAGGAGUGAAAGGAAGAGAAAACAAGGCAUCAGUAAAGAAGCAGAUCAAUUUAUAUUGAUAUGUAAUAAUUCCA
rnacentral:lncRNA from 1 species